rnacentral:tRNA from 1 species
AAGGCCUUAGCUUAAUGAAAGUGUCUGUUUUGCAUGCAGGAGAUGUGGGAUAGAGGCCCGCAGGUCUUA